rnacentral:tRNA from 1 species
GAGGGUUUAAGAUAUAUAAAUCUUUAUGCCUUUUAAGCAUAAAAAGCACUCAUA